CCUACGGGGGGCAGCAGUGGGGAAUAUUGGACAAUGGGGGGAACCCUGAUCCAGCCAUGCCGCGUGUGUGAAGAAGGCCCUCGGGUUGUAAAGCACUUUCAGUGAGGAAGAACGCCUGGUGGUUAAUACCCAUCAGGAAAGACAUCACUCACAGAAGAAGCACCGGCUAACUCCGUGCCAGCAGCCGCGGUAAUACGGAGGGUGCGAGCGUUAAUCGGAAUUACUGGGCGUAAAGCGCGCGUAGGUGGCUUGAUAAGCCGGUUGUGAAAGCCCCGGGCUCAACCUGGGAACGGCAUCCGGAACUGUCAAGCUAGAGUGCAGGAGAGGAAGGUAGAAUUCCCGGUGUAGCGGUGAAAUGCGUAGAGAUCGGGAGGAAUACCAGUGGCGAAGGCGGCCUUCUGGACUGACACUGACACUGAGGUGCGAAAGCGUGGGUAGCAAACAGGAUCAGAUACCCUAGUAGUC
rnacentral:rRNA from 1 species